GAAACUCCUUCAAGAGAGAAAAUAAUAGAGCACCAAGAGAGAGACAAGAGCUUGAGAGAACUCAGAAAAAGCUGCACAUUCGGUUUUGACUACGAGAAGAGAAAAUAAAGUGUCGCGAUUCUACGAACUUUCUUCUUCUUCGAACAGUUGUAGACUCCUUCCCUCGCCAAGGAUUCAUCUUUUCUUCGUACAUUCGGGCUUAAUUUCAGUCGUCAGGCAGAAAAAUGGCAAAAUCCGAAGCAAGACGCCUCUACCUUGGUCUUUAGAUGUAUAGGCACCAACAUGCUUGGAAAUGACGGCAACAUGGCUACGUCGUAUGAGGGGUGCAUGGGGGAUGCUGCUUGGAUAGCCAAAAGUGUCUGAGAUGGGUCCCCUGCCAUGUUGAACAAGUGCAGCACGCUACCACGAGCACCUUGCUUUGCCGAGAGGAUCUGCAUACUGGCACUGUGUGUCGUAUGUACUGUGCACUCGUGCGCACAGGGACAUGCUCUUGGGCACGUAAUCGUGCCGAGGCACAUGCCCUACUAGACAGGCUAUUAUUAUGCACAGUAGGCAUGUUUACCAUGCUGGCUCGACAGGUAUAUGCCAAGGGGUUUUCGCGAGUUUGGGCAUUGUGUGCCACAGUGCGGGUUUAAGGAGAAAGUCUCCCAUAUGCGAGCUGGCUUAUUUUAUAUUUUAAAGUGAAGGAAAUGGACGAAUUAAAAUUAACUAAAAAAUAAUUGGGAAUUUAAAAUGGAAAAAGUAAGAUGUGUAAAAUUAAGGAAACAAAAGACGAGAUAAAUUAAAGAGGAAAGUUUAAUGAAAUUUUGGGAACAAAUAAUUAAGGAAAAAAUAGUUAAAUUAAAGUAAAAUUGAGAAAAUAAAUGGAAUUAUGUAACUUAAGAAAAUUAGAAGAAAUAGAAGGAAGGGAUGACUUGGUAGGUCUUCUAGUUGUAAGGCUAGAAGUUUGUAUGUUUUGUAAGUUAUCUAGGAUUUUGUAAAAUAGAACGAAUAAUUGUAAUGCCUCAGUAUACUCCAGUUUGUAUAUUUAUGUAAGG